UAAUAAUUUGGUUUUGCUAUCGUAGCCAUCUUGAAAAUUGCCAAUUUGCAGACGAACGCGUUUUCAAAACUCUAUCAUUCCGCGUAACUAGAUCGAGUUCGAGAUUAAAUCGGUUCUUUUCGGAACAUAUCGAAUCUAUUGGUGGUUAUCAAAGGAUACCGAUGAGAUAUGACCCCGCAUGAAGUUUCAAUAGAAACACCUAAAUUAUAAUCAACCGUAGCCGCUUGCUAGCUGAUUCUCGCACUAUCAGGUGUAUUGUAAUAUCCUAGAAGGAGAACCCAGAUCACACUUCCGGUAUUGGUGCGAAAAUGCAAGAUACUCUUCCGACUGCAAUUUCACCAUCCGGAAGAAGCUGGAACAGACUGUACUUCUUUAAAAAUAUCACCCGCCAGUCAAAAAUAAAUACAUCACCCUCCGGUGAACGGACAGCACUGAAGACAAUGAUAUUUUUAACACUUUCUUCAUCUACAAAAUGUCAU